GAUGAACGCUGGCGGCGUGCCUAAUACAUGCAAGUCGAGCGAACGGACGAGAAGCUUGCUUUUCUGAUGUUAGCGGCGGACGGGUGAGUAACACGUGGAUAACCUACCUAUAAGACUGGGAUAACUUCGGGAAACCGGAGCUAAUACCGGAUAAUAUUUUGAACCGCAUGGUUCAAAAGUGAAAGACGGUCUUGCUGUCACUUAUAGAUGGAUCCGCGCUGCAUUAGCUAGUUGGUAAGGUAACGGCUUACCAAGGCAACGAUGCAUAGCCGACCUGAGAGGGUGAUCGGCCACACUGGAACUGAGACACGGUCCAGACUCCUACGGGAGGCAGCAGUAGGGAAUCUUCCGCAAUGGGCGAAAGCCUGACGGAGCAACGCCGCGUGAGUGAUGAAGGUCUUCGGAUCGUAAAACUCUGUUAUUAGGGAAGAACAUAUGUGUAAGUAACUGUGCACAUCUUGACGGUACCUAAUCAGAAAGCCACGGCUAACUACGUGCCAGCAGCCGCGGUAAUACGUAGGUGGCAAGCGUUAUCCGGAAUUAUUGGGCGUAAAGCGCGCGUAGGCGGUUUUUUAGUCUGAUGUGAAAGCCCACGGCUCAACCGUGGAGGGUCAUUGGAAACUGGAAAACUUGAGUGCAGAAGAGGAAAGUGGAAUUCCAUGUGUAGCGGUGAAAUGCGCAGAGAUAUGGAGGAACACCAGUGGCGAAGGCGACUUUCUGGUCUGUAACUGACGCUGAUGUGCGAAAGCGUGGGGAUCAAACAGGAUUAGAUACCCUGGUAGUCCACGCCGUAAACGAUGAGUGCUAAGUGUUAGGGGGUUUCCGCCCCUUAGUGCUGCAGCUAACGCAUUAAGCACUCCGCCUGGGGAGUACGACCGCAAGGUUGAAACUCAAAGGAAUUGACGGGGACCCGCACAAGCGGUGGAGCAUGUGGUUUAAUUCGAAGCAACGCGAAGAACCUUACCAAAUCUUGACAUCCUUUGACAACUCUAGAGAUAGAGCCUUCCCCUUCGGGGGACAAAGUGACAGGUGGUGCAUGGUUGUCGUCAGCUCGUGUCGUGAGAUGUUGGGUUAAGUCCCGCAACGAGCGCAACCCUUAAGCUUAGUCGCCAUCAUUAAGUUGGGCACUCUAAGUUGACUGCCGGUGACAAACCGGAGGAAGGUGGGGAUGACGUCAAAUCAUCAUGCCCCUUAUGAUUUGGGCUACACACGUGCUACAAUGGACAAUACAAAGGGCAGCGAAACCGCGAGGUCAAGCAAAUCCCAUAAAGUUGUUCUCAGUUCGGAUUGUAGUCUGCAACUCGACUACAUGAAGCUGGAAUCGCUAGUAAUCGUAGAUCAGCAUGCUACGGUGAAUACGUUCCCGGGUCU
rnacentral:rRNA from 1 species